AAAAGAACUUUGAAGAGAGAGUUCAAAAGGGCGUGAAACCGCUUAGAAUAAAACGGACGGAGCCGUCCGGAGCCUUCGGGAAUCAGUCGAAAUUUGAGCGAACAUUCGCGCUCGUUUACUAGAACGCAAGUCUAGUCGAGUCGAUAGUAGUAGUUCAGUUUUGACGCAUUUCUCGUCGGUAUGCGCCGCGACCGAUACGAAAGGCCGACGAAGCGUCGUCGAUUGAGGUCGACCGGCCCGUUAAACGGCUAGUCGUUUCCAGUCGCGACGCCUCGAGUCGUCGGACCGCAGUAUGUAUCGAGCGUCCCAGUAAAUAUGAAUAUCGGCCGUAAUAGCUCGCUCGAGUGACGGAUAGUCGAUUCCAAUUCGGUUGGUUACUUGCUCGCAGGUGCCGACGGUUGGCGAUCGAUUUAGAAGUUAUCGGCGACUCGAUAUUCGGGCGUCCGCGGCGUCAGUGUCGGCCACCCGUCCGACCCGUCUUGAAACACGGACCAAGGAGUCUAACAUAUGCGCGAGCCAAUGAGCGUUUAAAACUCACGGGCGAAAUAAAAGUAAACGAAGUCUCCGACUUCUAAGAUACGAUCCCUUGAUCGCGCCGUUCGCAAGAGCGGGCGUUCUCGGGCGCAGUAUCGUCCCGUCCCGAUCGCAUGUCGAUAGGGCGGAGAUAGAGUGCAUACGUUGGGACCCGAAAGAUGGUGAACUAUGCCUGAGCAGAGCGAAGCCAGAGGAAACUCUGGUGGAGGUUCGUAGCGGUUCUGACGUGCAAAUCGAUCGUCAGAC
rnacentral:rRNA from 1 species